rnacentral:rRNA from 1 species
GUGGGGAAUAUUGCGCAAUGGCCGCAAGGCUGACGCAGCGACGCCGCGUGUGGGAUGAAGGCCUUCGGGUUGUAAACCACUGUCGGGAGGGGCGAAUACCUGGCUUCGAAUAGGAGACCAGGGGUGACGGUACCUCCAAAGGAAGCACCGGCUAACUCCGUGCCAGCAGCCGCGGUAAUACGGAGGGUGCAAGCGUUGUCCGGAAUCACUGGGCGUAAAGGGCGCGUAGGCGGCUUGGUAAGUCAUCUGUGAAAUCCCGGUGCUCAACGCCGGGGCUGCAGGUGAGACUGCCUGGCUAGAGCUUGGUAGGGGCGAGUGGAAUUCCCGGUGUAGCGGUGGAAUGCGUAGAGAUCGGGAAGAACACCAGUGGCGAAGGCGGCUCGCUGGGCCAAUGCUGACGCUGAUGCGCGAAAGCGUGGGGAGCAAACAGGAUUAGAAACCCUUGUAGUCC